rnacentral:rRNA from 1 species
UACGGAGGGUGCGAGCGUUGUCCGGAAUCACUGGGCGUAAAGGGCGCGUAGGCGGCUCGGCACGUCCGUUGUGAAAUCGCUCGGCUCAACUGGGCGGGGUCAGCGGAUACGGCGUAGCUGGAGCAAGCUAGGGGGCAAUGGAAUUCCCGGUGUAGUGGUGGAAUGCGUAGAUAUCGGGAGGAACACCAGUGGCGAAGGCGGUUGCCUGGAGCUUUGCUGACGCUGAGGCGCGAAAGCGUGGGGAGCGAUCCGG